rnacentral:rRNA from 1 species
AACGAACGCUGGCGGCAUGCCUAACACAUGCAAGUCGAGCGAAACCAUCGGGUCUAGUGUCGCACGAGUUUGUCACGCGUGGGAACAUGCACUUGGGUUUGGCAUACCUCUCAGACUGGGGUGCUAUUACGGGAUAAUAUCUACGGACCAAAGAUUUAUCGACUUUGGAUGGUCCCGAGUUGGAUUAGCUUGUUGGUAGGGUAAUAGCCUGCCAAGGGGAGAAUCGAUAGCUUGUUAGAGAGAAUGAUUACCCACACUGAGACUGAGACACGGCCCAGAAUCCUACGGGAGGGAGCAGUGGGUGAUAGAGGACAGUGGGCGAAAUCCUGAUCCAGCAAUGCCGCGUGAGUGAUGUAGGCCGGAGGGUAGUAAAGCGCAUUUACCUGGGCUGAUAAUGACAGUACCGGGAGAAUAAGCCACGGCUAACUCCGUG